UACGUAGGGGGGCUAGCGUUAUCCGGAAUUACUGGGCGUAAAGGGUGCGUAGGUGGUUUUUUAAGUCAGAAGUGAAAGGCUACGGCUCAACCGUAGUAAGCUUUUGAAACUGAAGAACUUGAGUGCAGGAGAGGAGAGUAGGAUUCCUAGUGUAGCGGUGAAAUGCGUAGAUAUUAGGAGGAAUACCAGUAGCGAAGGCGGCUCUCUGGACUGUAACUGACACUGAGGCACGAAAGCGUGGGGAGCAAACAGGA
rnacentral:rRNA from 1 species